AGAGUUUGAUCCUGGCUCAGAUUGAACGCUGGCGGCAUGCCUUACACAUGCAAGUCGAACGCGAAAGCGGGGGCAACCCUGCCGGUAGAGUGGCGAACGGGUGAGUAAUACAUCGGAACGUGCCCAGGAGUGGGGGAUAGCCCGGCGAAAGCCGGAUUAAUACCGCAUACGUCCUAUGGGAGAAAGCGGGGGACCUUUCGGGGCCUCGCGCUCAUGGAGCGGCCGAUGUCGGAUUAGCUAGUUGGUGGGGUAAGAGCCUACCAAGGCGACGAUCCGUAGCUGGUCUGAGAGGAUGAUCAGCCACACUGGGACUGAGACACGGCCCAGACUCCUACGGGAGGCAGCAGUGGGGAAUUUUGGACAAUGGGGGCAACCCUGAUCCAGCCAUGCCGCGUGAGUGAAGAAGGCCUUCGG
rnacentral:rRNA from 1 species